rnacentral:lncRNA from 12 species
AAAGAGAGAACUUCCAGGAUGAGGCGAGCUAACAAGGACCAGUUCCGUAAAACCCUGGGGUUGGUGCGUUAAUGCUCCGGCUCAGAGCGAGGCAGGUAGUUUCUGCUCGAGCGAGCAGACGGGCGCCCGGAGCAGGGCCACUGCGUAGGCGCUUUCGUUUGGUUUUCCUUUCCCUUUGCUGCCAAGGCCGGCGUCCUUCUGCCUGACUCGGCGGAUCUCGGGCCGGACUAGACGGCUGCCCGUCGUCCAGUGGCAGGAGCGUCUUCUGUCUGGGCGAGUACAGCCUCCUCGCUGGCCAGGGAAAUCCGCGCGAGGGCCGAUUAGCCGCCCGGGGACACAAGCCUUCAGGUUGUAAACGCGCCGCCUAAGUCUGAGGACACCCCGAACACUGACGGGACGACCGAGAGCGGUCUCAGGGCGCAGGGGCUGGAAAGCCUUGUAUCUAGGUUGGGUCUGUGGGAUCCCUGGGGGGCUCAGCGGCAGAGCGCCUGCCUUCGGCCCAGGGCGUGACCCCGGAGUCCCGGGAUCCAGUCCCACAUCGGGCUCCCCACAGGGAGCCUGCUCCUCCCUCUGCCUGUGUGUGUGUGUGUGUGUGUCUCUCUCUCUCUCUCUCUGUGUGUCUCAUGAAUAAGUAAAUAAAAUCUUAAAAACCAUUUAGGUUAGGUCUGAUGGAUUGCGUUUUGGAGACCUGAACACCAGGGCCGGGCCAUCCUUGGGGCACAGAAGCAAGGCCCAGCACCCGAAGGCCUUGACUCGGGACUUGGGCCCCGUAAUUCCCUUGGUCAGACGGUUCUGGAAGGGGGAACAGCGGCCGUGCCCUAAGAGAGCGGCGACCUCGGUUCCGUACUUUCCCUCCAGGUUCCACAUUUAGCGAGCAAUCGAGACCUGAGGAAGAGACGAGCCAGUCAGGGCGGUUAAAGGGGUCCAGUCCCUUGAGCGUCUGCUGCCCUUCGUGGGAACCCACACACCCGCUGCCUUUUGUCUGUAUGGCCCUCGGCCUCCGCGCGGGCUUAGUUAACGGAGGUUUGAGAGGAAAAUUGUAUCAUCAGCCCAAGGCCGAAAGUGCCAGACUGUGGCGGGUGAUACAGGCAUCGCGUGCGUGGAUUUGGAGGAAGGUGAGAUGGGGUUGGGAGGUCCAAGGAUGGUGCCCCCAGAAGGCUGGAGCAGACAGAGCUGUCGGGGGCCCGUGCCGCUGCCCCGGGACCGAAGUUCCCCUCCAGGGCCGAUGGGAAGUAUGUGGUCAGCUGAUCCCUUCACUGGUUUUUUUUUGCUUGUUUGUUUUUCUUAAUUUUUUUUUUAAGAUUUUAUGCAUUUAUCUGACAGAGACAGCGCGAGUGGUGGGAGGGCAGAGGGAGAGGAAGACCAGCAGGGCCCGCAGAGCAGGGAGCCCGACCCGGGGCUGCGACCCAGGACCCCGGAUCGUGCCCUGAGCCGACGGCAGCCACAGCCCCGGGCCACCCGGCGCCCCGUCCCUUACCUGUUAAGCCAAAGGGAAAACACUGUCGUGGCGGGAGAGGGCGUGGCAGGCUCCAGAGGGAAGGAAGGAAAAACCCGCUAUGGAUUCACCGUUUGUUUAUUCAACAUUUAUUGAGUCCCACGUGCAGGCGGCGAGCGAGGCCCCGCGGAUCCGGAACGGACGCAGCGCGCGGGAGCCGUCCCUCGGGCAGGUUCACGGUCCGGGUGGGGGGGGCAGGGAGGGCGCACGUGCUACGGGGAAGUUAGAGCAAAGGGUGGGAGUCGGAAGUGUGCUGAGGUGUUUAACUCCCAAUUUUUUUUAAAGAUUUUAUUUAUUCCUGAGAGACCCAGAGAGGGAGGCCUAGACCCAGGCCGAGAGAAGCAGGCUCCCUGCGGGGAGCCCGACGCGGGACUCGAUCCCGGGACCCCCGGGUCACUGGGCCGAGGGCAGACGCUCCACCGCUGAGCCCCCGGGCGCCCCCAUCCUCCCGAUUUUAGAUGAAUUACGGGCACCGUAACCUAGAGGCGCAAGGACAGAGUUUGGUCUUUUUCUGUGGCUUGGGGUUGGCCGGUUACGGCCCAGGAGAGUUGGCCUGUGAACAGGCCUCGUGGCCGGGAAGACCGAGCCGAGGCCGGGGCGGAGCGUCCUCCUGCGAGGGUGGGGGGGGGGGUGCAGGGGGGCUGGGGGGGAUAGGGGGGGCCAGGCCGGGACGGAAGAGGGGAGGCCGGGCCUCUGGUGCCGUAGGAGGUCGCUGGGCUGCAGGCCUACGAGGCCCACCUGAGCUCGGAGUCUGGGCCAGACGCUCGGGGCUGCCAAGGUCACCGCGGUCACCGCACUGCCUGGCGCCCGAGGGGGCUGGCGUCCCCUGACGGGGUGCGGGCCCUGGGGUGCAGGGGGAAGCGUGGCCGCUGGGACAGCACGGGCGCCGGGCACGGGGGCGCCUGCAGCGCGGAGCCUGUCCCCGAUCGUCUCCCUGGGGCCUGGUGACCCGCGCUCGGGAUCUGCCUGCCGGUUCGCUCCCCCGUGGUGGCAGCACCGAGCCCGAGCCUGCCCUUUGUCACAGGCUAGGUGCCGGCCCGUGGGGCCCGGGGCGCAGGGGCCACCUGCACACCUACCUUGCUGUCCUCUGCAAGCGCUCGACGCUCUCCUCGAGGCUGCGGCCGGCGGUUUGCACUUGUCCGUGGUCUUCUGUUCGGUUAAAGACCCUGUGUUAGGGCCAGGAUGUCCCAACGGGCGACUGAGCAGGGAGGCUCCUCCUUCCCGGGGGACUCCGGCGGCCCCGGGGUGCAGCAGCCUCUUCUGCCCGACAGGCCGCGUGCUCAGCGCCCUGCCCCGCCGGCCACCGUCCCCUGAUACACUCGCGGAAUGGCCCCGCUGACCCCGUGCACGCGUGGAGGGGCGGCCGGCAGGCUCCGUGCUAGCAGACUCAACAUGCCCAGCGGCGGAGUUGGGGCCCAGCCCCCCGUGUGCUGCGGUUCUGGCACCUGGACCCCCGCCAGGCUCAGCGUCGCCGGGAGUGACUUGCUCUCAGGCUCCCGCGUGACUUAAGCAGAGCGUGUCGUGGAGCACACGGGCCUGCGUGCACCUCCCGUUGCCUGCACGUUAGCAAGAGAAUCGUAGCCGAUGAGAGCUGGGAACUGAAAGCUAGCACAGCGCGGGGGCUGAGCGAACGCCCUGGAAGGUCUUAGGUGGGUCUCAUCACCUACAGCUCGACCCCUGGCUGCUGCGAUAUUUGCAACACAAAAGCGAUUUCCCCAGAACUUUAAAAAAAGGGGGGGGAGAGACAGGGAGAGACUGUAAAUCUUACUUCUGACUCACAGCCACGAAACAGUCCCCAACUCAGUGGUGCAGCUGAGACCUUGCAAGUGGAUUUAAAGAAUAAAACUAAUGAGGCCAGACA